CCCAGACUCCUACGGGAGGCAGCAGUGGGGGAUAUUGCACAAUGGGGGGAACCCUGAUGCAGCGACGCCGCGUGGGUGAAGGAGCGUUUCGGCGCGUAAAGCCCUAUCGGCAGGGAAGAAGGAGGACGGUACCUGACUAAGAAGCCCCGGCUAACUACGUGCCAGCAGCCGCGGUAAUACGUAGGGGGCAAGCGUUAUCCGGAUUUACUGGGUGUAAAGGGGGCGCAGACGGCAGCGCAAGCCAGGAGUGAAAGCCCGGGGCCCAACCCCGGGACUGCUCUUGGAACUGCGCGGCUGGAGUGCAGGAGGGGCAGGCGGAAUUCCUAGUGUAGCGGUGAAAUGCGUAGAUAUUAGGAGGAACACCGGUGGCGAAGGCGGCCUGCUGGACUGUGACUGACGUUGAGGCUCGAAAGCGUGGGGAGCAAACAGGAUUAGAUACCCGAGUA
rnacentral:rRNA from 1 species